CCGCCUGGGGAGUACGACCGCAAGGUUAAAACUCAAAUGAAUUGACGGGGACCCGCACAAGUAGUGGAGCAUGUGGUUAAUUCGAAGAUACGCGCAGAACCUUACCAACACUUGACAUGUUCGUCGCGACUUAAGAGAUUAAAGUUUUCGGUUCGGCCGGACGAAACACAGGUGCUGCAUGGCUGUCGUCAGCUCGUGUCGUGAGAUGUUGGGUUAAGUCCCGCAACGAGCGCAACCCUCACUUUUAGUUGCCAUCAUUUAGUUGGGCACUCUGAAAGAACUGCCAGUGAUAAGCUGGAGGAAGGUGGGGAUGACGUCAAGUCCUCAUGGCCCUUACGUGUUGGGCUACACACGUGCUACAAUGGUAUCUACAACAGGAAGCAAGACGGCGACGUUAAGCAAAUCCUCAAAAGAUACCUCAGUUCGGAUUGCACUCUGCAACUCGAGUGCAUGAAGCUGGAAUUACUAGUAAUCGUGGAUCAGCGUGCCACGGUGAAUGCGUUCCCGGGUCUUGUACACACCGCCCGUCACACCAUGGGAGUUGGUUCUACCUUAAGGCAAGGUUUAAAACCCUUGACCACGGUAUAGUCAGCGACUGGGGUGAAGUCGUAACAAGGUA
rnacentral:rRNA from 1 species